rnacentral:rRNA from 1 species
ACAAGAAGACCCUGUCGAGCUUAAAAGAACGAUAGAAGUUGGCUAUCAAAAGAAAUCAAUAAACUAUACAGCUUUUUAGUUGGGGCGACUAAGGAACAAAUAAAGCUUCUUCUGUUUCUAUAAAUUUAUAGAUCUAGAUCCAGCAAAGCUGAUCAAAGGAAUUAGUUACCGCAGGGAUAACAGCAUAAUC